rnacentral:rRNA from 1 species
UACAGAGGCCCCGAGCGUUAAUCGGAAUUACUGGGCUUAAAGGGUGCGUAGGCGGACCAGCAAGUGCUUUGUGAAAGCCCCCGGCUCAACCGGGGAACUGCGGGGCAUACUGCUGGUCUUGAGGCAAGUAAGGGUUGCGAGAACUGUAGGUGGAGCGGUGAAAUGCGUAGAUAUCUGGAGGAACACCGGUGGCGAAGGCGGCAUCCUGGACCGGCAUUGACGCUGAGGCGCGAAAGCUAGGGGAGCAAACGGG